rnacentral:rRNA from 1 species
UGGGGAAUAUUGGACAAUGGGCGCAAGCCUGAUCCAGCCAUGCCGCGUGAGUGAUGAAGGCCCUAGGGUUGUAAAUCUCUUUCACCGGUGAUGAUAAUGACGGUAACCGGAGAAGAAGCCCCGGCUAACUUCGUGCCAGCAGCCGCGGUAAUACGAAGGGGGCUAGCGUUGUUCGGAUUUACUGGGCGUAAAGCGCACGUAGGCGGACUUUUAAGUCAGGGGUGAAAUCCCGGGGCUCAACCCCGGAACUGCCUUUGAUACUGGAAGUCUUGAGUAUGGUAGAGGUGAGUGGAAUUCCGAGUGUAGAGGUGAAAUUCGUAGAUAUUCGGAGGAACACCAGUGGCGAAGGCGGCUCACUGGACCAUUACUGACGCUGAGGUGCGAAAGCGUGGGGAGCAAACAGG